CUCCAUGGUUAAUACCCGGAGACGAUGACAUUAGCUGCAGAAUAAGCACCGGCUAACUCUGUGCCAGCAGCCGCGGUAAUACAGAGGGUGCAAGCGUUAAUCGGAAUUACUGGGCGUAAAGCGAGCGUAGGUGGCUUGAUAAGUCAGAUGUGAAAUCCCCGGGCUUAACCUGGGAACUGCAUCUGAAACUGUUAGGCUAGAGUAGGUGAGAGGGAAGUAGAAUUUCAGGUGUAGCGGUGAAAUGCGUAGAGAUCUGAAGGAAUACCGAUGGCGAAGGCAGCUUCCUGGCAUCAUACUGACACUGAGGCUCGAAAGCGUGGGUAGCAAACAGGAUUAGAUACCCUGGUAGUCCACGCCGUAAACGAUGUC
rnacentral:rRNA from 1 species